rnacentral:rRNA from 1 species
AACGAACGCUGGCGGCAUGCCUAACACAUGCAAGUCGAACGAGACCUUCGGGUCUAGUGGCGCACGGGUGCGUAACGCGUGGGAACCUGCCCUUAGGUUCGGAAUAACUCCCCGAAAGGGGUGCUAAUACCGGAUAAUGUCUUCGGACCAAAGAUUUAUCGCCUUUGGAUGGGCCCGCGUUGGAUUAGCUAGUUGGUAGGGUAAAAGCCUACCAAGGCGACGAUCCAUAGCUGGUCUGAGAGGAUGAUCAGCCACACUGGGACUGAGACACAGCCCAGACUCCUACGGGAGGCAGCAGUGGGGAAUAUUGGACAAUGGGCGAAAGCCUGAUCCAGCAAUGCCGCGUGAGUGAUGUAGGCCUUAGGGUUGUAAAGCUCUUUUACCCGGGAUGAUAAUGACAGUACCGGGAGAAUAAGCUCCGGCUAACUCCGUG